rnacentral:misc_RNA from 1 species
CAUGCAUUUAUAAAAUUUAUACUACAUACCAAUCAUGAAAAAUAAUAUUUUAGUAUUCAAUUUUAUAAUAUUUAGUUAAUUUUAAAGUUCUUUUGAUCUUUCAAAGUUAUUACAAGUCCCAAAUCACCAAUUUGGUGAAUUGAGGAUUUUGGGAUAUGAAAAUGUACCCCCAGAAAUCAUACUUGCAUAUAUGGAAAUCUUAUCAUAAACCUUUAUCUCUUAAAUACAUAGUAAAUCUCAUCCCAUCCAAAUCAAUCAGAAUAAAAACUCACAAUUCUAUCUGAAACUACUUGGGGAGAUUGAAUUCUACUGGGUCCAGAUGGAAGGAGGGGAGUCCUCAUCAAUGACUUAAAUUAACAGGAUUCUGUUUCCAAGUUCAACAUUCAGCAAUAAAUAGCUAAAAAAACUAGCUAAUAAUGUAUACAAGACCUCCUGAUUCCAUUUGGAAAAUGUUACAAGAUCAUGAAGUCCAGAGAGCUCCAAAAUUUGCCUUCUUAGACAAUUUUGCCUUGCCAAGAAAAUCUCCAGCUUAGCCACUUUUUACGAACUUAACACUGCAACAAGAGGGAGAAGGAGCCCUUCCCAGAUAUCAUCAUAACUUUUUGGGAUUAUAGGAACCAACUGAAAUAAAGUUCCAGUUCAAAAAAAUAUGCAACAAAGUUCCAGCAAAACAGUGGUAGAACAAACAAUAGUACCGCUCCUGCUUCUUCAAUAGCCAGAGGCAUUAGAGAAAACAACCAAAGAAGAGGCAAGACGUACAAUUUUGACAUACAAGUAGAGCUAGAACCGAAAAUACUACUUAGUGGAUAUUUUUAAUAUUUGACACACGGACAAAUCCCAUUAAUCAAACAGCAUCCCUUGAACAGAGUUUCAUAAGAGAAAACAAAAUGGGAGAGGUAACUGGAGAAGCCUUUUUUGGGCACUCCCCUGUAUGUUCCAAACUUCACCAAAUCAACACAGGAGUACAAACUAUAUAUUGCAUAUUGCAAAGGCAAUAUGAUAUAUAUAUAUAUCUAUAUGACCUUCAAAGCUAGAAGUAGGUACCCUCAGGAGGUUGGACUAGCUUCCGGUUGUGUGGGGCUGCCAUCUCCUUCUUCAGCUGUGUCAAUAUAUCCUCCAUAGUGUACUCCCGCUGCCAAUUUGCAAGAAGUCCAAACUUUUUUGAUUCCACCUGCAGCAAACAUAUGAUAACAAGUUAACUAUGGACAUUCUCAAAUUUUUAUAAAGGUACCCUCCUGUUCAAUACAGGUACAGCCAAAUAGAAUGUACCCCCCAUAAUCAUAACAACAGCAGUCUAUAUAAAACUCAACAGCAAUGGACACUACAAUUUCUUAUUUAGUUCCACUCCAGUUCAAUCACAAAUCAAUAAAGCAGCCAAACAGGUUAAAUCUCCCAUGAUAGAAGAACAGUAGUGCUACAUAAAAGGCAACAGUACAAGAUCCUCCAGUGAGUGUUGCUGUAACUAACAAAAGCAGCACUUCUGUCCAUCAGAGAAAAUAAGAAUCAAGGAAACACAAUAAAGUACAUCUAUCAUUGUCCACAACUCAAUAUAAUAAAGUUGGAUAGAAUUGUGAUAUAAACAUAAUUGAAGUUCUUCAACAUAACCAUACCACUCCAGUUUCAUGGUUAACGCAAGUCAUGUUGAUCCGUGAAUGAAAUCGAACACUUGGUGGCUUCUCAGGAUAAUCUUUAUCACAGAACAGCUUCAACUGAUAAAUUCGACCUUCAUGCACAGUAUUAUGAGGACCAAUGAUGGUGCCAGUCCAGGAACGCAUGUAAAUGUCAUCUCCAUCAUCCAUUCCAUAGCUUACAGUUCCAUCCCCAAUACCUUUUUCACCACGUUCAAGUUCCUCCAGCAAUCUGAAGUUCCGAGGCACCACGACACUAGAUCCUCCUGAGCCAAGCGUCAUGGGUGGUUCACAGCAAUUUCCCCGAAGGCGUUAGUUGAGAUCUGAUUGAAGAGAGAGAGAGAGAGGGGUCAGGGGUGGAGAAUCUAGGAAAAGACUGGCGAGGCGACGAAGGCAAAGCAGAGAAUAAAGCAGAGAAAUUGAGGACAAGAGGGGACACAGAUUAAAAAGAAAGGAAAAACAAAAUAAAGUUUACAGGCUACUUGAG